rnacentral:lncRNA from 1 species
CUUCAUGUGCGGUAUUCCCUUUAUUUAGUUAUGAAAAUACAAGAGCUGGCAUCAGACAACCCAAGUGACAAUGGUAACCCAUUGUUGCGAUUUUACUUUAUCUUUGAUAUAAUUAAGAUACAAGUUCACUACUUAUAUAACAAGAUGAGUUUAUCCUGGAGUCAGACGGACCCUCAAUCCAGUCUGCCUGAUGUUCUCAUAAGAAGAUCCAGACAAAGGAGAAACUAGGAAGAGGCGAAGAAGAUGCUACCCAAAGAAACAUGAGUCUGCCAAGACCUUGUUCUGGGAACUUCCGUUUCCCCAACUCAAAGACCACAGUUGUUUCUUGCUUUCAGCCAC